AAAAGUGGAAGGGCUAAAGUUGCAAUUAGCCCUUCCAAUAGAAACACGCGGACCCUAGCCUUGGAGCGGGUCGGAUCGCAUGUCGGCCCUUUACUAAAACGGCGCCGUUUCAUUUUGUUAUAAAAGCCAAAAAAAAUUUAGAAAAUCUCAUUUUAAACCUUUAUUCCAAAAAAAACAACAAAAACCCUCUCAAUGUUUCUUCUCCCC
rnacentral:lncRNA from 1 species